UACGAAGGGGGCUAGCGUUGUUCGGAAUUACGGGGCGUAAAGCGCGCGCAGGCGGUCUUCCAAGUCAGUGGUGAAAGCCCGGAGCUCAACUCCGGAACUGCCAUUGAAACUGUGAGACUUGAGGAUGAGAGAGGUGAGUGGAAUUCCCAGUGUAGAGGUGAAAUUCGUAGAUAUUGGGAAGAACACCGGUGGCGAAGGCGGCUCACUGGCUCAUUUCUGACGCUCAGGCGCGACAGCGUGGGGAUCAAACAGG
rnacentral:rRNA from 1 species